rnacentral:rRNA from 1 species
GAAACUCAAAGGAAUUGACGGGACCCGCACAAGCAGCGGAGCGUGUGGUUUAAUUCGUUGCUACACGAAGAACUUACCUGGGUUUGACAUAUAGGUUGUAGGGAACUGAAAGGGACGACCCUUCGGGGAGCCUAUACAGGUGUUGCAUGGCUGUCGUCAGCUCGUGCCGUGAGAUGUUCGGUUAAGUCCGCUAACGAGCGCAACCCUCGUCGUAUGUUAUAUGUGUCAUACGAGACUGCCGGUAAAAGCCGGAGGAAGGUGAGGAUGAUGUCAAGUCAGCAUGACCUUUAUAUCCAGGGCUACACACACGCUACAAUGGUCUGUACAAUGGGUAGCCAAGCCGCGAGGCGGAGCCAAUCCUGAAAGCAGGCCUCAGUUCAGAUUGCAGUCUGCAACUCGACUGCAUGAAGCCGGAGUUGCUAGUAACCGCAGGUCAGCAAUACUGCGGUGAAUACGUUCCCGGGUCUU